rnacentral:rRNA from 1 species
GCAAGCGUUAAUCGGAAUUACUGGGCGUAAAGCGCGCGUAGGUGGUUCAGCAAGUUGGAUGUGAAAUCCCCGGGCUCAACCUGGGAACUGCAUCCCAAACUAACUGAGCUAGAGUGCGGUAGAGGGUGGGUGGAAUUUCCUGUGUAGCGGUGAAAAUGCGUAGAUAUAGGAAGGAACACCAGUGGCGAAGGCGACCACCCUGGACUGAUACUGACACUGAGGUGCGAAAGCGUGGGGAGCAAACAGGAUUAGAUACCCCUGGUAG